rnacentral:rRNA from 1 species
ACGCUCGACACCUACGGGAGGCAGCAGUGGGGAAUAUUGCACAAUGGGGGAAACCCAGAUGCAGCGACGCCGCGUGAGCGAAGAAGUAUUUCGGUAUGUAAAGCUCUAUCAGCAGGGAAGAAACUGACGGUACCUGACUAAGAAGCACCGGCUAAAUACGUGCGAGCAGCCGCGGUAAUCUGAGCGGGCUGGCAAGGC